CAUUCACGGAGAGUUUGAUCCUGGCUCAGGACGAACGCUGGCGGCGUGCUUAACACAUGCAAGUCGAACGAUGAAGCCCUUCGGGGUGGAUUAGUGGCGAACGGGUGAGUAACACGUGGGCAAUCUGCCCUUCACUCUGGGACAAGCCCUGGAAACGGGGUCUAAUACCGGAUAACACUCUGUCCCGCAUGGGACGGGGUUAAAAGCUCCGGCGGUGAAGGAUGAGCCCGCGGCCUAUCAGCUUGUUGGUGGGGUAAUGGCCUACCAAGGCGACGACGGGUAGCCGGCCUGAGAGGGCGACCGGCCACACUGGGACUGAGACACGGCCCAGACUCCUACGGGAGGCAGCAGUGGGGAAUAUUGCAC
rnacentral:rRNA from 1 species